rnacentral:lncRNA from 1 species
AACUUUACCAAAUAUUUCCUGUAAAGUUUCAUCUAUAACCUAGAGCCAUCAGCAAAUAAACACAUAUAUACUAAAUUGACCACAGGUCAGACCAUUUAAAUACAAUUACGUGAGCAUAAAGAUCAAUUUUCUGUCAUCCAAACUCAACACAGUAAAACCCUCACAAGAACUUUCUUGAUAGAUUUCUUUGAUUCGUUGGCGAUAAAAAAGCUAAUAAAAUUACUAUAAAAUAUAGGCCCAUGUCAAAUGAUUCAUUCAAGAAAGUUUAAGUCCUUACCUUAACAGAUGCCAAUUGCUUGCGAGCUCUGAAGCCAACUGAAGAAGAAGAACCGCUAACAGAGGAAAUAUAUGAAAAAGAAACCAAUCCUUUACGUAGCCUUUGAUUGGGUGGAAAAAUCAGUUGAGAAGAAUUCAAUGACGAAGAAAAUGAAGUCACAAACGAAGAACAAAAAACAUCACCCAUUUCACAAAACACACCCAGAUUAAAAACCUAUAUUUCCUCUUUAAACCCUGUUUAUGUAUGUGUUCUACAAUUGGGUUAUUUUCAAAAAUUACUCUUUCUUUUUUCCCUGUUGUUCAACAGUUCUCUAUAUAUAGACGGCGGUCUGGUGUGCGUAGGUGAAUGUUACAUCAAUGGUAGAAGAAAAGCAAAAAUCAAAGCCAAUAAGGCUUAGAUUUUUCUCCGUCCCUCUCUGAACUCGUGUUCUUUGUGUGUGUACAGGAGACCCAGCUUGGGGGUGGGAACUGUAAUUGUGUGAACCAGAAUAAUGUAGGAAGGUGAGGGGAAAUUGGUUAGGU